UCCUGGCAAGAAUGAGGCCCAAGGCUUCCUGGGCUCAGAGAGGGGCGGGAUGCAGGACUGUGGCAGAGGCGUAGUGGCGCCAGCGGGGGUGGGCUCAGUGUGGGUGGGUUUAGAGCGCCAGCGGUGACAGAGCCAAGUCAGGGCCGCCCGGAAGGGCUGGCUCGGUGAGGGGCGGGGCCGAGGGCCCCUAGCGGCGUCCAUUACCACGCCUUAGGAAGCGGGGCUGCGGGGGAGGUACGGCGUUUAGAACCCUUGAGGCGACGCCGCCGACGCCGUGGGCGGGGCCUAGUGGGAGGGGCGGGCUCAGUGCGGGGCGGGGCUAAGGGCUCCUAGCGGCGUCUGUUCCCACGCGCUAGGAAACCAGGCUGGAGGGAGCUGCGGCGUUUAGAGCCCUGGCGGCGAUGGCGGCGAUGGCGCCGACGCCGUGGGCGGGGCCUAACGGGAGAGGGCGGGCUAAGUGAGGGGCAGGGUUAGGACUUAGUCGCGAUGAUGCUGGGGGCGGGGCCCGCCGGGAAAGAGCGGGCCAGGGCGGGCGGCGGUCACCGGGGCUGACGGGCAGCGGACCGGACAACCAGACAGACAGACGGCGGCAGGGGGACGGGCCGGCUGGGUGCACGCUGUGCCGCCGCCAUGACAGAGCAGACCUACUGUGACCGCCUGGUCCAGGACACGCCUUUCCUCACAGGCCUCGGGCGCCUGAGUGAGCAGCAGGUGGACAGGAUUAUCCUCCAGCUGAACCGCUACUACCCCCAGAUCCUCAGCAACAAGGAUGCAGAGAAGUUCCGGAAUCCCAAGGUAUCUCUGCGAGUGCGUCUCUGCGACCUCUUGGGCCACCUGCAGCGGAGUGGUGAGCGGGACUGCCAGGAGUUCUACCGGGCCCUGUACAUCCAUGCCCAGCCCCUGCACAGCGGCUUGCCCAGCCGGCACACCCUGCAGAACUCAGAUUGCACAGAGCUAGACUCGGGCACCGCAAGCCGUGAGCUCAGUGACAGGGGUAACCUCCUCCUACGUCCCCUCUCUGUCCUCCUACCCAGGGCUCCGUCUUUGCCUCGGGGGCUUUUCCAUUCCUGGCUUCCCAUUGGACAGGACCCCCCCCCCCAGGGUGUUCGCUGGAGGUGUCCCUGUCCAAUGGACCCCAGCACAGGGUGUGAGCCUGUCCCUUCAGGCUCUUGGCGCCCUCCCUGCCCUCCAGCGCUUGGGGACCUGCUCAUGAGCAUCUCUCCCCAGGACCCAUGGCCUUCCUGACCUGCCUCGGCCUGGCCGCAGGGCUGGCACUCCUCGUCUACUGCUGCCCUUCAGACCCCAAGGUGCUGCCAGGGACCCGGCGUGUCCUGGGCUUCUCCCCCGUCAUCAUCGACAGGCACGUCAGCCGCUUCCUCCUGGCCUUCCUCACAGAUGACCUGGGUGGGCUCUGACCAACCCCAGCCCUGCCCGCCUGUCUGCUUGCUGCCCGGGGGCUUGCUUUUUUCCUAAGUGUUUUUUCUCACUAUUUAUAAUUUCUGUAACAAGCACUUUACCUUCAUUGUACAGAGGUGCUCAUCAAUAUUAAAUGUUUGGGUCUCAUCCUUC